AUUGAACGCUGGCGGCAUGCCUUACACAUGCAAGUCGAACGGCAGCACGGGUGCUUGCACCUGGUGGCGAGUGGCGAACGGGUGAGUAAUAUAUCGGAACGUACCUUAUUGUGGGGGAUAACGCAGCGAAAGCUGUGCUAAUACCGCAUAAUCCCUUAGGGGGAAAGCGGGGGACCGUAAGGCCUCGCGCAAUUAGAGCGGCCGAUACCUGAUUAGCUAGUUGGUGAGGUAAAGGCUCACCAAGGCAACGAUCAGUAGCUGGUCUGAGAGGACGAUCAGCCACACUGGGACUGAGACACGGCCCAGACUCCUACGGGAGGCAGCAGUGGGGAAUUUUGGACAAUGGGGGCAACCCUGAUCCAGCAAUGCCGCGUGAGUGAAGAAGGCCUUCGGGUUGUAAAGCUCUUUUGUCAGGGAAGAAACAGCA
rnacentral:rRNA from 1 species